rnacentral:lncRNA from 1 species
AUGCUCAGCCAGCCACUCUUUCUUUCUUCCAAAGGGUGGGAGGAGAUUUAUUUUGUAACCAACCAUGUAUUGGAUCUGGCCGGCCUUUGGCCCCCCCCCACCCCGCAGUCACUCCUGGCAGCUUGUCUGGUGCUGCCUCGCUGUUCUCUGGCCUCGGGCGGCCACCCCAAAAGACUCAGCAGGACGCCUGGAGCUGUAGGAAGAGAACAGCCAGGCCCUCCCCUGGGCUCCCUGCCCUCCCACAGCGACCCUCCCGACCCCUGCUGCUGCCCACUGCCUGUUUUUAUGGCUAGCUUUCUUUGUCUGGCCCGCGGGGGCCCUGCUGUGCCACCAGGCCCUGUCCUGCCUGGGCAGGGCUCCCCGGAGGUGGCAGUCACACCCCGGAUAGGGUGGCACCGGGGCACUGCUAGGGGACGGUGCCCGCUCCCCUGCUGCCUUCCCUCAGGGAUUUUCCUCCUGGGAUCUCGCUCAGCCCCGAGCCAGCUCCCUCGGCUGCCGUGCCCCUUCCCCAGCAGGGCACACAAAGGUUCCCCAGCUCAGGGACCCCCGCAGGGUGGCCGUGCUGCAGGGCCAGGCAGGCUUAGGGGUGGUUUGGAUCCCCUCCCAGCCCUGCAAGAAUCCCAAAAAGUAGCGUGGUGCCAAAGCUGCUCCAUCCUGAAAGGGAGGCAGAACUGCUCAGGCUGCUGUCCCCAAGUGCCACCGUGCAUCUCGUGCACUGCAGGGAGGACGUUCCCUCUCUGGCACCACAGCCCCUGCAGCUGGCCUGGGGACCAGUGCUCCUGCAACCCCCCUUGUCCCCAAAAGCUCAGUCCCCUGGUGUCUUUUGGCCAGUGGCUUUGCUGUCCCCGCUGCCAGCGUGAAAACGUCCGUUCUGUGUGUGUCCCCACAGUGCCUGCCACCACCCCGUGCCCUGUCCCCAUCCCUCUCGCCGCCUGUGGUGUGGGUGUAGCCAACAAAUGUGUCCAUAAAAACCCCAUCUGGGGGCGGUCCCUCCACAACCUCCUUCACCCCCAGCUCGGUGCCACCCCAAUUUGUGGCAGGGGGGUGAGGGGACCCCUGCCCCGGUGA